GGGGGGAGGCCGGAUCCUGGGCUGUGUCCCGGCGCCCUGUGCUCCGGAGCCUGCGCUGCUGGAUUCGGGCUCCCGCCCCGCAGCCCCCU
rfam:Canis lupus familiaris chromosome 21, whole genome shotgun sequence.